GGGACAGUAGCUCAAUCCGGGAGAGCAAUCGCCUGAAGAGCGAUGUGUUAGGAGUUCAAAUCUCCUCUGUCCCA
rnacentral:tRNA from 1 species